rnacentral:ncRNA from 1 species
GACUCUACGGAGGGGCAGCACUCCGGACGAGAGCACCGCCGUACCCGGUCACGACAAGACGGCGCGCC